rnacentral:misc_RNA from 1 species
GAUGAAGAACGUAGCGAAAUGCGAUAAGUAAUGCGAAUUGCAGAAUUUCCGUGAGUCAUCGAAUCUUUGAACGCACAUUGCGCCCACUGGUAUUCCGGUGGGCAUGCCUGUUCGAGCGUCAUUAUCCUCCCUCAAAACUCCUGUUUUGGUGUUGGGCCGCGUUGGUCACCUCCGACCAACGGGCCUUAAAGACAAUGACGGCGUCCGUGGGACCCUCUUCGCAGUGAGCUUUUGUUAGCGCGCGUUGAGUUUAAAGGACCUUCCGGGCCGGCCACCUUUUAUCUAUUUUACAAGGUUGACCUCGGAUCAGGUAGGAAUACCCGCUGAACUUAAGCAUAUCAAUAAGCGGAGGA